AUUGAACGCUGGCGGCAGGCCUAACACAUGCAAGUCGAACGAGUGGCGGACGGGUGAGUAAUGUCUGGGAAACUGCCCGAUGGAGGGGGAUAACUACUGGAAACGGUCGCUAAUACCGCAUACCAUCGGAUGUGCCCAGAUGGGAUUAGCUAGUGGGUGGGGUAACGGCUCACCUAGGCGACGAUCCCUAGCUGGUCUGAGAGGAUGACCAGCCACACUGGAACUGAGGCACGGUCCAGACUCCGACGGGGGGAAGCAGUGGGGAAUAUGGCACAACGGGCGCAAGCCUGAUCCAGCCAUGCCGCGUGUAUGAAGAAGGUCUUCGGGUUGUAAAGUACUUUAAGCGAGGAGGCGUUACUCGCAGAAGAAGCACCGGCUAACUCCGUGCCAGCAGCCGCGGUAAUUC
rnacentral:rRNA from 1 species